AGUGAACGCUGGCGGUAGGCCUAACACAUGCAAGUCGAACGGCAGCACAGUAAGAGCUUGCUCUUACGGGUGGCGAGUGGCGGACGGGUGAGGAAUACAUCGGAAUCUACUUUUUCGUGGGGGAUAACGUAGGGAAACUUACGCUAAUACCGCAUACGACCUACGGGUGAAAGCAGGGGAUCUUCUGACCUUGCGCGAUUGAAUGAGCCGAUGUCGGAUUAGCUAGUUGGCGGGGUAAAGGCCCACCAAGGCGACGAUCCGUAGCUGGUCUGAGAGGAUGAUCAGCCACACUGGAACUGAGACACGGUCCAGACUCCUGCGGGAGGCAGCAGUGGGGAAUAUUGGACAAUGGGCGCAGGCCUGAUCCAGCCAUACCGCGUGGGUGAAGAAGGCCUUCGGGUUGUAAAGCCCUUUUGUUGGGAAAGAAAAGCAGCAGGUUAAUACCACGCUGUUCUGACGGUACCCAAAGAAUAAGCACCGGCUAACUUCGUG
rnacentral:rRNA from 1 species